rnacentral:ncRNA from 1 species
ACCCCUGUGAGAAUGCCCUUAGCCCUCUUAUGAGACUAAGGAGCGGGCAUCAGGCUCACACUUAAUAAGUAGCCAAUAACGCCUUGCUUAGCCACACCCCCAAGGGAAUUCAGCAGUGAUAAACAUUAAGCAAUGAGAGAAAACUCGACUCAGUUAACGUACUAAGAGUUGGUAAAACUCGUGCCAGCCACCGCGGUUAUACGAGAAACUCAAAAUGAUAAGCACCGGCGUAAAGGGUGGUUAGGAGAUUAAUAACUAAAGUUAAACAUUUUCUUAGCUGUUAUACGCAAUUGAAAACAUGAAAUUCAACCACGAAAGUAACUUUAAACAUCUGAAUCCACUAAAGCUACUAAACAAACUGGGAUUAGAUACCCCACUAUGCUUAGCCAUAAACACCGAUAUAAUAUUACAUUUUUAUCCGCCAGGGAAUUACGAGCACUAGCUUAAAACCCAAAGGACUUGGCGGUGCUUCAAACCCACCUAGAGGAGCCUGUUCUAGAACCGAUAAUCCCCGUUAAACCUCACCCCUCCUUGUUUAAUCCGCUUGUAUACCGCCGUCGUCAGCUUACCUUUUAAAAGAAUAAUAGUAAGCAAAAUUGGUACAACCUAAAACGUCAGGUCAAGGUGUAGCAUAUGGAAGGGAAAGAAAUGGGCUACAUUCAUCCACUGAUGAACACGAAUUAAUUAUUGAAAAAUAACUAUGAAGGAGGAUUUAGCAGUAAGAAAAAAAUAGAGAGUUCUUCUGAAACAGGCCCUGAAGCGCGCACACACCGCCCGUCACUCUCCUCUAAAAAUAAUAAAUAUAAAUAAAAUGAUUACACAAUCAAGAGGAGGCAAGUCGUAACAUGGUAAGUGUACCGGAAGGUGCACUUGGAG